rnacentral:rRNA from 1 species
GAUGAACUACAGGAUUCCCCUAGUAACGGCGAGUGAAGCGGGAUGAGCUCAAAUUUAAAAUCUGUGUCGAGCCUCAGGUCGUCCGAGUUGUAGUCUAGAGAAUCGUUUUCCGCGUUGGCCUGUGUACAAGUCCCUUGGAACAGGGCGUCAUAGAGGGUGAGAAUCCCGUCCUUGACACAGACUACCAAUGCUUUGUGAUGCGAUCUCGAAGAGUCGAGUUGUUUGGGAAUGCAGCUCAAAAUGGGUGGUAAAUUCCAUCUAAAGCUAAAUAUUGGCGAGAGACCGAUAGCGAACAAGUACCGUGAGGGAAAGAUGAAAAGCACUUUGGAAAGAGAGUUAAACAGUACGUGAAAUUGUUAAAAGGGAAACGAUUGAAGUCAGUCAUGCUUUCCGAGACUCAGCCGAUUCUGUCGGUGUACUUCUCGGUUGGCAGGCCAGCAUCAGUUUCGAUCUGUGGAAAAGGUUGGAGGGAACGUGGCAUCCUCGGAUGUGUUAUAGCCCUUCUUCGAAUACAUAGAGCGGGACUGAGGAACGCAGCGCGCCUUUUAUUAGGUUGGCCCUCGGGUACAUACGCGCUUAGGAUGCUGGCAUAAUGGCUUUAAACGACCCGUCUUGAAACACGGACCAAGGAGUCUAACAUGUUUGCGAGUGUUUGGGUGGUAAACCCGAACGCGUAAUUAAAGUGAAUGCAGGUGGGAUCCGCAAGGAGCACCAUCGACCGAUCUGGAUCUUUUGUGAUGGAUUUGAG